ensembl:ncRNA R08B4.8 ncRNA
GUUCUUACACCAUAUGGCACUAAUUAUCAAUUUCAAACAUUAUAAUGAUCGAGGUCAAGUUCAGCAUAUUUCACCUUUUUUACCUUCUACAUUUAACAUUUCUUUUACAAAUCCAAUUUGAAAUGAAAAUGAAAAAUGAAGUGGUGAAGAGGUGGGGAGGACAGGAAAAAGGCGAAACUCAUAAUGAAGCAAUCAUGCAAAAUGCACAAUAUCAAGUGUCGCGUUGCGUGUGUUUGCGCACAGACGCUUUAAUUGAAGAAGCACAAACUCAUUUGCUCAAUAUUAGAGAGGGC